GAGGAGUUCGGCGCCGAUAAUGAUCGGGAAUAAGAUUCGAGCCGAAACCGCGGACUCAAUUUGAGUGGUAGGGGAGCGUUCCUGUCGGCGUUGAAGGUUCACCGGAAGGUGGGCUGGAGCGGCAGGAAGUGAAUAUGUCGGCUUGAGUAACGAUAAACGGAGUGAGAAUCUCCGUCGCCGAAAGCCUAAGGUUUCCUGGGGAAGGUAAAUCCGCCCAGGGUUAGGCGGGACCUAAGACGAGGCCGAAGGGCGUAGUCGAUGGACAGCAGGCGAACAUUCCUGCCCCACCAGGGGAGGUUGAUCCAGCGUGACGGAUCGAGAAGUUCGACGGGACAGUGAAGCGUCCAAGCCUUCGGGCUGAUGUCGGGUGGAUCGGUUCCAAGAAAAGCCGUCUGGUGACGAACCUGGUGCCCGUACUAAAACUGACACAGGUAGGCGUGGCGAAUAGCCUCAGGCGCUCGAGAGAAUGGUUGU
rnacentral:rRNA from 1 species